rnacentral:rRNA from 1 species
UACGUAGGGGGCGAGCGUUGUCCGGAUUCAUUGGGCGUAAAGAGCUCGUAGGCGGUUCGGCAAGUCGGGUGUGAAAACUCCAGGCUCAACCUGGAGACGCCACCCGAUACUGCUGUGACUCGAGUCCGGUAGGGGACCACGGAAUUCCUGGUGUAGCGGUGAAAUGCGCAGAUAUCAGGAGGAACACCAGUGGCGAAGGCGGUUGCCUGGAGCUUUGCUGACGCUGAGGCGCGAAAGCGUGGGGAGCGAUCCGG